rnacentral:tRNA from 1 species
GGCUCGUUGGUCUAGGCUUUUGAUUCUCGCUUUGGGAGCGAGAGGUCCCGGGUUCAAAUCCUGGACGAGCCC